AACGAACGCUGGCGGCAGGCCUAACACAUGCAAGUCGAACGCUCCGCAAGGAGAGUGGCAGACGGGUGAGUAACACGUGGGAAUCUUCCUGUUGGUUCGGAAUAGCUCAGGGAAACUUGGGGUAAUACCGGAUAAGCCCGAGAGGGGAAAGAUUUAUCGCCGACAGAUGAGCCCGCGUCUGAUUAGCUAGUUGGUGAGGUAAUGGCUCACCAAGGCGACGAUCAGUAGCNGGUCUGAGAGGAUGACCAGCCACACUGGGACUGAGACACGGCCCAGACUCCUACGGGAGGCAGCAGUGGGGAAUAUUGGACAAUGGGCGCAAGCCUGAUCCAGCCAUGCCGCGUGAGUGACGAAGGUCUUCGGAUUGUAAAGCUCUUUUGCCAGGGACGAUAAUGACGGUACCUGGAGAAUAAGCCCCGGCUAACUUCGUGCCAGCAGCCGCGGUAAU
rnacentral:rRNA from 1 species